ACUUGGUGUUACUGCGAAGGGGGGACGGAGAAGGCUAUGUUGGCCGGGCGACGGUUGUCCCGGUUUAAGCGUGUAGGCUGGUUUUCCAGGCAAAUCCGGAAAACCAAGGCUGAGGCGUGAUGACGAGGCACUACGGUGCUGAAGCGACAAAUGCCCUGCUUCCAGGAAAAGCCUCUAAGCAUCAGGUAACAUCAAAUCGUACCCCAAACCGACACAGGUGGUCAGGUAGAGAAUACCAAGGCGCUUGAGAGAACUCGGGUGAAGGAACUAGGCAAAAUGGUGCCGUAACUUCGGGAGAAGGCACGCUGAUAUGUAGGUGAAGCGACUUGCUCGUGGAGCUGAAAUCAGUCGAAGAUACCAGCUGGCUGCAACUGUUUAUUAAAAACACAGCACUGUGCAAACACGAAAGUGGACGUAUACGGUGUGACGCCUGCCCGGUGCCGGAAGGUUAAUUGAUGGGGUUAGCGGUAACGCGAAGCUCUUGAUCGAAGCCCCGGUAAACGGCGGCCGUAACUAUAACGGUCCUAAGGUAGCGAAAUUCCUUGUCGGGUAAGUUCCGACCUGCACGAAUGGCGUAAUGAUGGCCAGGCUGUCUCCACCCGAGACUCAGUGAAAUUGAACUCGCUGUGAAGAUGCAGUGUACCCGCGGCAAGACGGAAAGACCCCGUGAACCUUUACUAUAGCUUGACACUGAACAUUGAGCCUUGAUGUGUAGGAUAGGUGGGAGGCUUUGAAGUGUGGACGCCAGUCUGCAUGGAGCCGACCUUGAAAUACCACCCUUUAAUGUUUGAUGUUCUAACGUUGGCCCGUAAUCCGGGUUGCGGACAGUGUCUGGUGGGUAGUUUGACUGGGGCGGUCUCCUCCUAAAGAGUAACGGAGGAGCACGAAGGUUGGCUAAUCCUGGUCGGACAUCAGGAGGUUAGUGCAAUGGCAUAAGCCAGCUUGACUGCGAGCGUGACGGCGCGAGCAGGUGCGAAAGCAGGUCAUAGUGAUCCGGUGGUUCUGAAUGGAAGGGCCAUCGCUCAACGGAUAAAAGGUACUCCGGGGAUAACAGGCUGAUACCGCCCAAGAGUUCAUAUCGACGGCGGUGUUUGGCACCUCGAUGUCGGCUCAUCACAUCCUGGGGCUGAAGUAGGUCCCAAGGGUAUGGCUGUUCGCCAUUUAAAGUGGUACGCGAGCUGGGUUUAGAACGUCGUGAGACAGUUCGGUCCCUAUCUGCCGUGGGCGCUGGAGAACUGAGGGGGGCUGCUCCUAGUACGAGAGGACCGGAGUGGACGCAUCACUGGUGUUCGGGUUGUCAUGCCAAUGGCACUGCCCGGUAGCUAAAUGCGGAAGAGAUAAGUGCUGAAAGCAUCUAAGCACGAAACUUGCCCCGAGAUGAGUUCUCCCUGACUCCUUGAGGGUCCUGAAGGAACGUUGAAGACGACGACGUUGAUAGGCCGGGUGUGUAAGCGCAGCGAUGCGUUGAGCUAACCGGUACUAAUGAACCGUGAGGCUUAACCUU
rnacentral:rRNA from 2 species